rnacentral:rRNA from 1 species
UACGAAGGGGGCUAGCGUUGUUCGGAAUUACUGGGCGUAAAGCGUGCGCAGGCGGCUUCUCAAGUCAGGGGUGAAAGGCCCAGAGCUCAACUCUGGAACUGCCUUUGAGACUGAGAGGCUUGAGUACGGGAGAGGUGAGUGGAAUUCCCAGUGUAGAGGUGAAAUUCGUAGAUAUUGGGAAGAACACCGGUGGCGAAGGCGGCUCACUGGCCCGUAACUGACGCUCAUGCACGACAGCGUGGGGAUCAAACAGG